UGGGGAAUUUUGGACAAUGGGCGAAAGCCUGAUCCAGCAAUGCCGCGUGUGUGAAGAAGGCCUUCGGGUUGUAAAGCACUUUUGUCCGGAAAGAAAUCCUUGGCUCUAAUACAGUCGGGGGAUGACGGUACCGGAAGAAUAAGCACCGGCUAACUACGUGCCAGCAGCCGCGGUAAUACGUAGGGUGCAAGCGUUAAUCGGAAUUACUGGGCGUAAAGCGUGCGCAGGCGGUUUGCUAAGACCGAUGUGAAAUCCCCGGGCUCAACCUGGGAACUGCAUUGGUGACUGGCAGGCUAGAGUAUGGCAGAGGGGGGUAGAAUUCCACGUGUAGCAGUGAAAUGCGUAGAGAUGUGGAGGAAUACCGAUGGCGAAGGCAGCCCCCUGGGCCAAUACUGACGCUCAUGCACGAAAGCGUGGGGAGCAAAACAGGAUUAGAUACCCUGGUAGUCCACGCCCUAAAACGAUGUCAACUAGUUGUUGGGGGAUUCAUUUCCUUAGUAACGUAGCUAACGCGUGAAGUUGACCGCCUGGGGAGUACGGUCGCAAGAUUAAAACUC
rnacentral:rRNA from 1 species